UACGUAGGGAGCAAGCGUUGUCCGGAAUCAUUGGGCGUAAAGCGCGCGUAGGUGGCUUCGUAAGUCCGCUGUGAAAGUCAAAGGCUCAACCUUUGAAUGCCGGUGGAUACUGUCGGGCUAGAGUCCGGAAGAGGCGAGUGGAAUUCCUGGUGUAGCGGUGGAAUGCGCAGAUAUCAGGAGGAACACCAAUAGCGAAGGCAGCUCGCUGGGACGGUACUGACGCUAAGGCGCGAAAGCGUGGGGAGCGAACAGG
rnacentral:rRNA from 1 species